rnacentral:misc_RNA from 1 species
CGAAGCAUUAUGUUUACAACGUGUUACCGUUUGGCAUUGCUACUGCGGGUUACGUAUUUAGUAAGGUGUUACGCGAGGUGAUUAAACAUGUACGGGCAAUGGGUCACAAGUUAAUAAUGUACUUGGAUGAUGGCAUGGGGGGUCACGAAAACGUAGACAGUGCCAACGAGCUGAGCAGGCCUAGGAUUAGAAGCCACACUUAACGACGCGAUACAGGCUUCAGGGGUGGAGCCUGGGUCGUCCCUAUACGCCUGUUCAGAG